AGUAGCCUUGGAGUGGCUGGUGGUUCAUUUGCUUGACUCAACCACUAGGAACAACACAUCUGAUCCUGCACACAGGUCACCCUCCCUUGUUGGGAGCCUAGUCACCAUUCUAUGGUACACUAUGCACUUUACGUGCACACAUAACAUUUUGGGUCAGGCUGUGACCACCGUGUCUUACUCCGGGCACUGUUCCUCGUUCUCAUGGGUUCCCCGUCUCAACCCCGGGGGAGACAUCCUGCCCGGACCACCCUUCUUUCCUUGGCAGAUACCGGACCGGGUCUUGUGGUGGCAUAUAUACUGUCCUAAAAACACUCCUGAUGAUUGGCUGAAAUGCCAGGAAACGCGUAGAGUGCCCCCAGAUGCCAACAAUCACAUGUUCAUAUUCCACAUACUUACCGAUUUUAUUACAUAUA